GAAUCUGCGAAUGGCUCAUUAAAUCAGUUGUCGUUUAUUUGAUAGUACCUUACUACUUGGAUAACCGUGGUAAUUCUAGAGCUAAUACAUGCUAAAAACCCCGACUUCGGAAGGGGUGUAUUUAUUAGAUAAAAAACCAAUGCUCUUCGGGGCUCCUUGGUGAUUCAUAAUAACUUAACGAAUCGCAUGGCCUUGUGCCGGCGAUGGUUCAUUCAAAUUUCUGCCCUAUCAACUUUCGAUGGUAGGAUAGUGGCCUACUAUGGUUUCAACGGGUAACGGGGAAUUAGGGUUCUAUUCCGGAGAGGGAGCCUGAGAAACGGCUACCACAUCCAAGGAAGGCAGCAGGCGCGCAAAUUACCCAAUCCCGACACGGGGAGGUAGUGACAAUAAAUACUGAUACAGGGCUCUUUUGAGUCUUGUAAUUGGAAUGAGUACAAUUUAAAUCCCUUAACGAGGAACAAUUGGAGGGCAAGUCUGGUGCCAGCAGCCGCGGUAAUUCCAGCUCCAAUAGCGUAUAUUAAAGUUGUUGCAGUUAAAAAGCUCGUAGUAGAACCUUGGGCCUGGCUGGCCGGUCCGCCUCAC
rnacentral:rRNA from 1 species